UACAGAGGGGGCAAGCGUUGUUCGGAAUUACUGGGCGUAAAGGGCGCGUAGGCGGCCUGUUAAGUCAGACGUGAAAUCCCUCGGCUCAACCGGGGAACUGCGUCUGAUACUGGCGGGCUUGAAUUCGGGAGAGGGAUGUGGAAUUCCAGGUGUAGCGGUGAAAUGCGUAGAUAUCUGGAGGAACACCAAUGGCGAAGGCAGCACUCUGGGACGUGACUGACGCUGAGACGCGAAAGCGUGGGGAGCAAACAGG
rnacentral:rRNA from 1 species